CCUACGGGAGGCAGCAGUGGGGAAUAUUGGACAAUGGGGGCAACCCUGAUCCAGCAAUGCCGCGUGAGUGAUGAAGGCCUUAGGGUUGUAAAGCUCUUUUACCGGGGACGAUGAUGACGGUACCCGGAGAAUAAGCCCCGGCUAACUUCGUGCCAGCAGCCGCGGUAAUACGAAGGGGGCGAGCGUUGUUCGGAGUUACUGGGCGUAAAGGGCGCGUAGGCGGCGCUCCAAGUUAGGCGUGAAAGCCCCGGGCUCAACCUGGGAAUUGCGCUUAAGACUGGAGUGCUCGAGUGCGGAAGAGGUGAGUGGAAUUCCCAGUGUAGAGGUGAAAUUCGUAGAUAUUGGGAAGAACACCAGUGGCGAAGGCGGCUCACUGGUCCGCAACUGACGCUGAGGCGCGAAAGCGUGGGGAGCAAACAGGAUUAGAUACCCUUGUAGUC
rnacentral:rRNA from 1 species